AACGAACGCUGGCGGCAUGCCUAACACAUGCAAGUCGAACGAGACCUUCGGGUCUAGUGGCGCACGGGUGCGUAACGCGUGGGAACCUGCCUUUAGGUUCGGAAUAACCCAGAGAAAUUUGAGCUAAUACCGGAUGAUGUCUUCGGACCAAAGAUUUAUCGCCUUUAGAUGGGCCCGCGUUGGAUUAGCUAGUUGGUGGGGUAAAGGCCUACCAAGGCGACGAUCCAUAGCUGGUCUGAGAGGAUGAUCAGCCACACUGGGACUGAGACACGGCCCAGACUCCUACGGGAGGCAGCAGUGGGGAAUAUUGGACAAUGGGCGAAAGCCUGAUCCAGCAAUGCCGCGUGAGUGAUGAAGGCCUUAGGGUUGUAAAGCUCUUUUACCCGAGAUGAUAAUGACAGUAUCGGGAGAAUAAGCGCCGGCUAACUCCGUG
rnacentral:rRNA from 1 species